rnacentral:rRNA from 1 species
AACGAACGCUGGCGGCAUGCCUAACACAUGCAAGUCGAACGAGACCUUCGGGUCUAGUGGCGCACGGGUGCGUAACGCGUGGGAAUCUGCCCUUGGGUUCGGAAUAACAGUUAGAAAUGACUGCUAAUACCGGAUAAUGUCUUCGGACCAAAGAUUUAUCGCCCAGGGAUGAGCCCGCGUAGGAUUAGCUAGUUGGGUGAGGUAAAGGCUCACCCAAGGCGACGAUCCUUAGCUGGUCUGAGAGGAUGAUCAGCCACACUGGGACUGAGACACGGCCCAGACUCCUACGGAGGCAGCAGUGGGGAAUAUUGGACAAUGGGCGAAAGCCUGAUCCAGCAAUGCCGCGUGAGUGAUGAAGGCCUUAGGGUUGUAAAGCUCUUUUACCCGGGAUGAUAAUGACAGUACCGGGAGAAUAAGCUCCGGCUAACUCCGUGCCAGCAGCCGCGGUAA